GGCGCCCGUAUUGCCGUUUGACUGCCAAAUGUUUAUUUUGCAAAUACGACGGCGUUUUAGCCCGAAAUGGCAGUUGAUGACAGCAUGGGCUGUUGUCUGUUAAUUUCGGCCGAAGAGAGCUCUCGAGCACGCGCGCGAAUCAGUCCUUUUCCUCUCAUCUGACAAAUUCCCUUUUCCCGGAUUGAUUUCUAUGAUAUCGAAUUUUCAAUGAGGAUCGAUAAAUUAAUUUAACGGAUCAUGAUGGUUGCAUUUAAUUGGAAGCUUUUAGUUGUAGGGUUUGUUAUCACCCUACAUGCAAAGACACGAUGUGGCGGAGAAUCGUUGACGUGUUUGACGGUGUACAAAGAAGGUGGUGCUCCGGCAGUGUUCCAAUCCACCAAAUGCCCUCGCUGGAAUUUCCCAAAUUACGAUUCUCGAUCACGCACAACCACCACUGCAACCGGCAGCACGCGUUGCCAAUCGGCCUUGCUUCAGGGUCGAAGGAAGUCUCAGGAGGACCGCAUCCUCUGUGCUCUUGACGUUCGCAUUCCUUUCCCUGGUAAAACUGGGCUUAAGGAGGUUACAGUUGGAAUCGUGGCUGUUUUUGAUGGUCACAAUGGUGCUGAGGCUAGUGAGAUGGCCUCGAAGUUUUUGUUGGAGUAUUUUGCUUUGCAUACCUAUUUUCUUUUGGAUGCUACAUAUUCUUUUGCGUUCAAGAAAUCUGCAGGAAGAUUACCUAGUAAGGGAGAAAAGGAUGCUGUUUUUCAGGUGUUAAAUUGGGAUGAAGAACUUGGUCGGCAUGAGCUGAACUUUGAUAGGUCUACAUUUUCAUUGCCAGAAAAUUUUGAUGAUUCUUUUCAUUUGGAAAUUUUGAAGGAAGCAUUAUUGAGGGCUAUCCGUGAUAUUGAUGCCACAUUUUCUAAAGAAGCAUCUAGAAGAAAUCUUGAUUCGGGUUCUACAGCCACCAUUGUACUGAUAGCAGAUGGUCAAAUUUUAGUUGCCAAUAUUGGAGAUUCAAAGGCUCUUUUGUGCUCUGAAAAAUUUCAGUCUUCUGCAAAGGCAAAAGCCAAUUUAUUAAGGUUGUACAGAGAGCGGAGACGUGAUGGAGCUGUUUUUCCUACAAGGUAUCAUGACAACAUUAAAUUGAUUGCAUCCAAUGGACUGACAUAUUUUAUUGUCGAGGAAUUGACUAGGGACCAUCAUCCAGAUAGAGAUGAUGAAAAGUUUCGAGUGGAAACUGCUGGCGGAUAUGUUCAUGAGUGGGGUGGAGUCCCUCGAGUAAAUGGUCAGUUGGCUGUUUCCCGAGCUAUCGGCGAUGUGUAUUUUAAGAGUUAUGGUGUUAUAUCUGCACCUGAAGUGACAGAUUGGCAACCUCUUACCACAAAUGAUACAUAUCUGGUGGUUGCAUCUGAUGGCAUGUUUGAAAAGUUGAGUGUACAGGAUGUUUGUGAUCUACUCUGGGAAGUACAUACUCAUGGAACUGAGAGAUCAGAUCUUUCUUCUUCAUGUUCACAUUCAUUAGCUGAAUGUUUAGUAAACACUGCUUUUGAAAAGGGCAGUGUGGACAACGUGGCAACUGUUGUUGUUCCAUUAGGAGCUAUUGCAAUUCCUCAAAACCUGCCAAGGGAAAGGUGUGUUGGAGAUGGAGACAUAGAUUGCUCAUUUAUAGGGCUAAAGAAGUUCAUGCAUGAGCAAUCAGCUAAUGAUGCCACUUCUGACCUUCUACAAUUGACACAUGGACAUCCACUUAUUGCAAAGUUUGACAGGUUAUUGGUUGAAGGAAAGCGUGGGAAUUUUGGAUGUUAUUUUUUGUCAGAGAACUUAAAUAAUAUGGAUACACUGCGAGCUCAAAAUAAUGACAAAGAAAAUUAUGUCUAUGGCCUACCUCAGGCUCUACCAGAGGCCUUCAGUAACCAGUAUGGUGGACCUCUGAAUUUGUAUAAUGACCUGAAUUUGUGCUUAAAUUUUGGGAUGACUGUUGGAGUUAAAGAUCAAUGCACUAAUCCUGAAGACUUUGCUAGUUUCCUUGGUUUGCUCGAGUCUAUUCCUUUCCAUGACACUGGUUCAAAAUUUGGAUCAACUGAGUAUGCAGCGCCUGACUUAAGAUAUGUACUAAAGAAAAGGUUUGGUCAAGGAUCAUAUGGUGAAGUAUGGUUGGCUUUUUAUUGGAACUGUCAUCAAGAUAGGAAUGCUUCAAGAUGGACUGGAAAAAAUGAAAAUAUCUCAUUUACUAGUUGUUCUGAUGCAAAUAGAAGAAGUUCGUCUCGUAGUACUACUCAAGACUGCAAUGCUAGUUCUCUGGAUGAUGACUUGUUCAUUUUGAAACGUAUAAUGGUGGAGAGAGGAGCUGCUGUUUACUUAAGUGGUCUACGGGAGAAAUAUUUUGGUGAAGUGUUCCUAAAUGCCUCCAGGUGUCUUGGAGGUUUACUAUCAGAUGGAAUCACAGCCCCUUUAUUGGAAGAAUUGGAAUCAGAUUUUGAUGACCUAUUAGAAUCAAAUGAAUUAUUCAAUGGAUCAAGGAACAGUUGGAAUUUUGAAAAUAUGUUUCCCAACAAAUUUAGACUGCAGAGAGCUGCUUUUGAAGAGGGUUUGAACCAUAUAGCAAGAUUUGUAGAAUCUUUUGAAUCACAAUCUAAUGAAAUCUGGCUUGUAUUUCAUCAUGAAGGUGUCUCCUUGUCAAAGCUUAUUUAUACAGUGGAGGAAAUAGAAAAUAAUGCUGAUGAAGAAAAGGUUGAAGAAGUAAAGCGUGUUCAGGUAUUGCACCCUUCAAAAUGGUGGCAUUGGCUGAAGACAACAGAAGCAGGAAAAGAGGAAAUGCGCAACCUUAUAUGGCAGUUGGUAUGUCUGCAAACAAAUUCUAGACUGUUAUGACUUACGAGGUCGUGAAGUUUUUGUUGAUGGCAGUCAAGGCUUGCCAUGACCGCAACAUCACCCACAGGGAUAUCAAACCAGAGAACAUGGUGAUAUGCUUUGAAGACCAGGAGACUGGAAGAUGCUUGAAAGGAGCUCCCAGUAGAGACAAGAACUACACCACCAAAAUGCGCAUUAUUGACUUUGGUAGUGCAAUGGAUGAGUUCACUCUGAAACAUUUGUAUGGAUCAACAGGACCUUCUAGAGCUGAACAAACUCAUGAGUAUGCUCCUCCUGAAGCAUUUCUUAAUGCAAAUUGGUAUCAGGGGCCAUCAUGCUUGAACUUAAAGUAUGAUAUGUGGAGUGUUGGUGUUGUGAUUUUAGAGUUGAUCUUAGGAUCUCCAAAUAUUUUUCAAGUAAGUACUCUGACGCGAGCCCUUCUAGAACCACACAUUGGGGGUUGGAAUGAAGACCUCAAGGAGCUUGCAUACAAACUUAGGUCAUUAAUGGAGUUAUGUAUUUUGAUCUCUGGGAGUUCCUCUAAACAGCAUCCCAUGAUGGGCCAAGGUGGAGCUACUUCACCUGCUUCUUGGAAAUGCUCUGAAGAGUUCUUUGCACAACAAAUCAAGAGUAGAGAUCCUCUGAAAUUAGGGUUUCCAAAUGUUUGGGCUUUGCGGUUAGUGCGCCAACUAUUACUCUGGAAUCGAGAGGAUCGAUUGAGUGUCGAUGAUGCUUUGCAGCAUCCUUAUUUCCAACCUCCCCCUAAAAGAUGAGACAACAAGAAGCAUUCAAGUUUUUCCAUUUUAUGCGCGAGUGAUUUCUGUUUGGUGAAGACAUUUCAGGGACCUUUUUCAAGAUUGAAAUGCCAAAUGAUAGAUGCUGAGAAAGUGUCCUUUUCUCUUACUUGAGAAUGCUCCUCACAGCACCAUGCUGUUUAUUGUCACCUCCAGAUAAAAUCAUUUCAUCAACAAGAUCUGACUAUUUCAGGAUCCAGUAUCAAUUUUUGGUGCCGAAGUUGCUCAUCUCUUAGCAGGCAUUAUACCAGAACUUACGAUGCUAAGAAAUGGCACCGAUGUAUCAUCCCAAGCCAUGAGAAAAUCUACAAUUUCCUGUUUCCAAUGGAUUGUUAUGUAUUUGUCAACAGAUAGACAGUAGAUCAUCACUCGAAAGCAGAUGAAGAAGGAUCAUGGAUAGAAGCCACAAAUGGUUAUGUGAUUCAGCAGCUGACAUGCCACAAGUCAAUGGUCAGCUAACAGUUGCAUCACAUACCAGCCUAUAUUGCUUAAUUGUUAUAUCCAUCAAAAUUGUUGUGCUUUGGUUUUGCUUCUCCUGCUGAUUGUUGAUGCAUGUUGUUGCCCGCUAAAGUGCAGUUUUUCACCUUUGUCUGAGGUGUACAUUGGUUUAUCUAAAAGAAUAUUUUGAAAGUUCAUCUCUCACAAUAGGUGGUCUUUUCCUGGAGUCUAUAUUUCAGGCAGUGAUAGGCUGCAGCUAUACUGUUACAAUAGCAGGAUGCACAUUAAUAAAGGAUUGCGAGGUCAGCCAGUCCUCGUCAGAGUUCAUAUAAUGCUCAACAAGAGGACGAAAUAUUGAGUGAUACUGUUGUGCACACACACACACAUUUAGAUUACUUCAGUGAAUGUAAUGAUCAAGUCGACUAGCGAAAGUUGUUGCUGGCAAAUGUCUUUCUUAUCAUAUGAUGAGUGAUGUCAUGGAACCCUUUUAGCACUGGAUACAGGCGGUACUGUCACAUGCCUUUUUGAGGAGAAAAAUAAAUUUUAAUAGUGGGAG
rnacentral:misc_RNA from 1 species